rnacentral:lncRNA from 1 species
AGACGGAGACUCCAUCUCAGGAAAAAAAAAAAAAGAAAGAAAGUGACUUUCUCCUGUGGAUCCAGAGAGUUUGAACUCAUCAGAUAUCCACACCACACCUGCCAUGUGCCAAGGCCUUCUGCUAAGCACACAUCAUCUUUUUGUUUUGUUUUGUUUUCAACAGAGACAAGGUCUCACUAUGUUGCCCAUGCUGUCUUGAAUUCCUGGUCUCAAGCCAUCCUCCUGCCUCAGCCUCCCUGAGUGGUAGGAUUACAGGCAUGAGCCACCGGGUCUGGCCAAGCACACAUUAUCAGGGAGAACGGAGGGUCCUAGCAGAGAAAACUUCUGAAUUUUCCGGCCCCUCUGACAACUGGAGUUAAGAGGACUGACUGACACCACAAAGUGACUGCUGGAAAGAGAAACCAGAGGGCAGGUGCAGAGGGAAGGCCUUCGCUGUGGGAACGUCACCAUACCCUCGCAAGUGGGGAGAGAGAUGAGGAACUGGUGGGAGUCCCACAGCAGCUUCCCUUGCAGACCUCUCCCACAUGUGUGCCCGUGUGUGAGAAAUGGAAGAGGGCUUAGCUGGGGGUUCGGCUUAGGGAUGCAGGAAAGGUCGAGCUCUGAGGCUGUGAUGGCACACCAAGGGCUUCUCCGUCCUCAGCAGAGCAGCAAGGGAAGCAGUAAGGCUAGUGUGGGUUGCUGAGAAGACAGGCUCAAGACAUGUUCCUUAAGUGUCAUGUGCCAGACCCCAGUGGCCCUCUGUCAUUCCUAGGCAAGGUCUUGGGAAGACAGAUGAUAAUGAGGGGAACCAGGCCCUGCAGAGACACAUUUUUGCCAAGCCCCUCGGUUAGAGCACAGCUGAGACUUUAAACCCCAAAGGUGGGUCUUUUGUAAUCUGGUCUUGGCUUGCUGGAAAAGGCUAUCAGGGGCCCAGGAAGGGGUUGAGAGAGCCCAGUGCCCACCAGCCUGUGGGAAGCCAGGAACUCCCCAACUGCCACUGGUCAGCCAUUCCACAGGUCAUUCUUGAGCACCAGCUAUGUACCAGGCACAGUGGUAGCAACUGGGGAACAUCAAGAUGAACAAGGGUCUUGCCUCAGGAAGUGAACAUUCUAGUGAGGGAAACAGAUAAACUAAAAAAGUAAAAAUAUUUACAGGUGCCCUGAAGGAAAUAAACAGGGCCUUUUGAGAGACAAUAACAGGUAGUUUUAUUUUGGAAAAUGUAGUCUGAGGAAGUGAAAUCUUUUUUUUUUAGACAGGGAGUCUUGCUCUGUUGCCCAGGCAAGAGAGCAGUGGUGCGAUCAUGGCUCACUGCAGCUUUGAACUCCUGGGCUCAAGCCUCAGCCUUCCAAGUAGCUGGAACUACAGGUGCAUGCCACCACACACCUGUGGUGUCUUAAUUUCGUAACUUUUUUUUUUUUCCCUAAGAGACAGGGUAUCACUAUGUUGUCCAGGCUGGUCUCAAACUUCUGGCCUCAAGCAAUCCUCCUGCCUUGGCCCCAGUCACUGGGAUUAAGGGCUUGAGCCACCCCACCCAGCAGGAAAGUAGUUAAACUGAGAAGAAGCCUGUCAUUUAAAAAGCCAGGACAAGGCAGAGGAAACUGCCUGUGCAAAGGUCCUGGGAUGGGAAAGCUUGGGGAUUUGGGACAAUAAUAGUAACACUGUGGCUAUUGGGGGAGAGGGAGGCAGAUGAGAGUGGAGAAAUGGGAGGGGGUGGGGCAUAUGACACAAGGCCUGUGGACAGAGUGUAGCUGGUUCCAGUUUCUGGUGUGCAAGAAACAGAACUUGAAUUUUCUUUAACUCACUUGAAUUCCUGUAUUUUGCCCUACUCAGCCAGAGUGGCAGAAAGUUAAUUGCGGUCAAUUCACAGUUCCCCCAUUUUCCUUGGCAUUCUGUUGGAAUUCUAGGGCUCUUCCUUUCAAGGUGCCAAAGCAUGGGAAGCAUAGUCUGAUUUGGUCAUCCAGUCACACUAGCAUCCACUGAGAUGUUCUCAUCUGGUUGUGACCUUUUGUCAUCAGCCCAUGAAGGUUGCUGCUGAGUUGCUCCCCAUCCCCCCACCAAAAGACCCCUCCAAGUGUAACCCAUACCCCUCUCAGGUGUGCAGAGUUUUGUUUUGUUUUGUUUUGUUUUUCUGCUUUCCCCAGGCCAUGUUAGGCCUAGGAAAUUCUUGAGUCUUAGGUGAGUUAGGCCCUGUUUGUCCAAAAUGCAGCAUGCAGCCAUUUCUCCAGAGGGUUUUGUGACUUCCCUGGUGCCCCACCCAGGAAAAGGAGCACAGCUCCUCUCUGCUUCUCAAUCCCUUGGACCCAGAUGAUAUUCCCAGUUACAAGACUGAGGAGAAGCUUCUCUCUUCUCAGGGACCCCCCUCCUCAAUCUCAGACUCCCAGAUCCCCGUUAUAGUUUUCUAAAUGUGUGUCUGCACAGAAAUUCUGUCCAUUCCUCCCUGAAAGCUAAGCUUUUGGAAUUCAGAAGCUAAAAAUAGGCCCUGCA